rnacentral:rRNA from 1 species
GAUGAACGCUGGCGGCGUGCCUAAUACAUGCAAGUCGAGCGAACGGACGAGAAGCUUGCUUUUCUGAUGUUAGCGGCGGACGGGUGAGUAACACGUGGAUAACCUACCUAUAAGACUGGGAUAACUUCGGGAAACCGGAGCUAAUACCGGAUAAUAUUUUGAACCGCAUGGUUCAAAAGUGAAAGACGGUCUUGCUGUCACUUAUAGAUGGAUCCGCGCUGCAUUAGCUAGUUGGUAAGGUAACGGCUUACCAAGGCAACGAUGCAUAGCCGACCUGAGAGGGUGAUCGGCCACACUGGAAGUGAGACACGGUCCAGACUCCUACGGGAGGGAGCAGUAGGGAAUGUUCCGCAAUGGGCGAAAGCCUGACGGAGCAACGCCGCGUGAGUGAUGAAGGUCUUCGGAUCGUAAAACUCUGUUAUUAGGGAAGAAAAUAUGUGUAAGUAACUGUGCACAUCUUGACGGUAACUAAUCAGAAAGCAACGGCUAACUACGUG